rnacentral:rRNA from 1 species
UCCGUCGUGAAGAGGGAAACAACCCAGACCGCCAGCUAAGGUCCCAAAGUUAUAGCUAAGUGGGAAACGAUGUGGGAAGGCUCAGACAGCCAGGAUGUUGGCUUAGAAGCAGCCAUCAUUUAAAGAAAGCGUAAUAGCUCACUGGUCGAGUCGGCCUGCGCGGAAGAUUUAACGGGGCUAAGCUAUACACCGAAGCUGCGGCAAUGUGAACUUGUUCAUAUUGGGUAGGGGAGCGUUCUGUAAGCCGUUGAAGGUGCAUUGUAAAGUGUGCUGGAGGUAUCAGAAGUGCGAAUGCUGACAUGAGUAACGAUAAAGGGAGUGAAAACUCCCUCGCCGGAAGAUCAAGGGUUCCUGUCCAACGUUAAUCGGGGCAGGGUAAGUCGACCCCUAAGGCGAGGCCGAAAGGCGUAGUCGAUGGGAAACGGGUUAAUAUUCCCGUACUUCUUAUAAUUGCGAUGGAGGGACGGAGAAGGCUAGGUGAGCCUGGCGACGGUUGUCCAGGUCCAAGUAUGUAGGCUGAUG